rnacentral:rRNA from 1 species
GAUGAACGCUAGCGGCAGGCCUAACACAUGCAAGUCGAGGGGUAACAGAGAAGCUUGCUUCUGCUGACGACCGGCGCACGGGUGCGUAACGCGUAUGCAACCUACCUCAUACUGGAGGAUAGCCCUUGGAAACGAGGAUUAAUACUCCAUAGUAUCACGAAUUCACCUGUUUUUGUGAUUAAAGUUUUUCGGUAUGAGAUGGGCAUGCGUCCCAUUAGCUUGUUGGUGAGGUAACGGCUCACCAAGGCAACGAUGGGUAGGGGGCCUGAGAGGGUGGUCCCCCACACUGGUACUGAGACACGGACCAGACUCCUACGGGAGGCAGCAGUGAGGAAUAUUGGGCAAUGGAGGAAACUCUGACCCAGCCAUGCCGCGUGAAGGAUGACGGCCCUAUGGGUUGUAAACUUCUUUUAUAUGGGAAGAAACUUGUCUACGUGUAGACAACUGACGGUACCAUACGAAUAAGGAUCGGCUAACUCCG